GUUCUCUUCGGCAGCACUUAUACUAAAACUGGAACAGUGGAGAGAAGAUUAGCACAGCCUCUGCACAGGAUGACAUGGAAAUUCAAGAAGUAUUCCAUAUUUUU